GAUAUCGUCUGAAAAAAUCACGUCGUAGCGAACUAACGGCUCGAUAGGAAUUUGAAUAAGCGUGCAUUUCGUCCGAUAAGAAAUUUUCAAUUACAUUGUUUGCCGUCUCGCUGCGUUUUCUGGCCGAUGGGCGAAUUUUGCAACGAUGAUUCGGGGUCGUUCUCCAUAAAGCUCGAGGACUUUGAGGAUUUAAGGAAUCGCUAUUCGAAUUGAAAGUAUUUUCAGUUACACUCUGUAAUUUGAGAAGAUGUAAUUCUGUUGCAGCCAAGCAGCAAGGUUUCGUGCAGGUUGCGUUCUACCAUAGUUUUUCGCGCGAGCUUUUACAAACAACAAUCUGAUUUUGCCAAAUUUACAAUUGACAUUGUCAACUGCUCACGCGUUGUUCACACGCCACAUUAUUAGCAACCAGGGAGCGCACUCGUGCGUUCGUGAUUGGUCGUUUAGAAUUUCUGGGCUAAUUGUUCCCAUUGAUUUACACAUUUUGUCGGUAAAUAUAUGGAUUGCUAUCAGUCGUCCUGUGUCGCGGUACAAUUCAAUGAAAUAAAGCGAAACGCUUUGGCAAUAGGUACUAGUUUGCAACAGUUCUGAAUGUCAAUUGGGUAAUCUGUUUACCGAGCUUUGUUCGGUAUCGACGAAUCGCUACCGAUUGCAUCUGAUCGGAAUUAGUCACUUUUAUCAAUCAAUCUUCUUACUAAUCGGAUUCAGCUGUUUCGCAAUCGAUCGUUGAUUUCCGUUUCGCAAAGUAAAAAACGUCAUCGCUUUAUAAAUAGAAUUAUAAUAUUCGUAGUGUGCUGAAAAAAGAUCAAACAUGGGCAGGAAGUGAAUUAUUGCUUUCCUUCUUUAUUUGUUUUUUGCUUUAUAGAUGAGAAUAAUAUCGUAUGAUACGUUGUAUCUUUCUAAUCCACAAAACUAAUUACUUACCGAUUAAUCCAAUAAAUCUUGUCAAUUUCUCUUGGAUAAUUGUUUCAUUUUUUUUUAUCGCAUUCAUCAUCGACUAUCGAUCAAAUAGUCCAAUCACGUUUUCAUUCAAUCGAAAAGAGACUACGAUACGUAACCUUGAAUUCACCGACGAGAUUGACACAUCUUAUCUUUUUAAUCCACAAAUCGAUUAAUUUUCGAUUAACGUCAAUAAUUGACAAACAGAAACGAAAGCCCUCGAAAAUCCUUUCACAUCGCGUUUGUGGUAGUCUUCGGAAGCCUAUCUGAGAUUAACAAUUUCAUCGCGAGAUUUAUUGCAAGCCACCUCCGUGCGUUUCACGAACUAACGGUAAAUCAUUUAUCUCGCAAAAAUUGGGAUUGACGAUAAGCUCGUCGGGGAUUAGAAUGAACGGGUGUUAUCUCGUUAAUCGGCCUUCUUCGAAGGAAAAUCGUUUGGCGAAGAAGGAUCGUCGCAGCUCGAACACGGUGUUCGAAUUCUACUCGACAUUCCGUUUGCCAGUCGAGCAAUUUCCUUCGUUUGACGUUUCACGCCAUGAAAACUUUUAAUCUGCCUCCUCCCGAGGAGCGGCUGGCCGAAAACGACGGUUCCGAGAAAUCGUGAAUGCAGCGGUGUCUACUUAUACGCCAUAUUUCGAGGAUUGUUACGACGGGGCGAAAGAGUACCACGGCAGGCUGUGCACUUGCCGACAUAGGCCGCGGCUGCUGGCUGGCGAUUAACAUAUAAAUCAAAUCUCGGCUGGCGGACUGUCUCGCGCAAUCCGGUUCCCCAACCUCCACCCUACAGGUUAUCCCAAAUGUUACCAUACACUGCAAUCUACGGGAAACUAGAGUAGAUUCUACGUGAAAGUCUUCGUUCUUGACAAAGCAAGGGGUGUGAAAUAUAAACAUUAAUAUAAGUUCAUAUUCUUACAGAAUUUUUAUUUCAACCAUCGCAGGUUCGGUAAUUUUAUAUUCAUACUUUACAAAUAAAUCGUAUCAACUUAG